CUCGGCCACGUGGGUCAGACGCAGGUGUAGACAGUUUCCAGGUAAAGGCACACUAGGUUUCAGACGAACCCGCGCCAGGACCUGUGGGCAAACAAGCAAAUGCCAAAGAGCUUUCACAGUCGGUGAGAUGGCUCAGUGGGUGAAGGGGCUUGCUGCCAAGCCUGACAACCGGGUUCAAGUCCCGGGUCCCAUGAGGUAGAAGUGCUUGAGUUGGAAGUCAGAGACUCCAUACAUGCUGGACCUAAGAAUGAAGGAAAAACUCAAUGUGUGCCAGGAGAGCAAGGCCCAAAGGAUGCUCUGAUACCAAUGUGACCAGCUUCUGUGAGAGAUGCACUUACCAUCUCUUGCUUUCAGGAAAUGUGCCCAGUGAACUCAGCCUUCAGGGCAGGCCCUGGUUGUAGCUGGUCCAUCGACACUCUGUUAUUAGGAGGGCUCACAAAGGAUGGUGAUUUUGUUUUCUUCCCACCUCUUCUGUCCAGUCAGAAUGUGGGCAGAACGUUGCCUAUUGCAAGAUGGAGAUGGAGAAUGAGCAGUGAAAACGAGUGUGUAAGGUUUGAGCUCACUGACAUCUUCGGAGAAUUGCAAAUGGCCCCUGCUUACACUGGGUUUGGCACUAGGGGACUGGACUGUUUAAAUUUGAUCCUUUCAAUCCAUGCUAGGGCAGCAAUGUGGCCGAAGUCUCAUGACACUGUG
rnacentral:lncRNA from 1 species